rnacentral:rRNA from 1 species
GACGAACGCUGGCGGCGUGCUUAACACAUGCAAGUCGAACGGAAAGGCCUGCUUUCCCUUGUGGAUUGCGGGUACUCGAGUGGCGAACGGGUGAGUAACACGUGAGUGAUCUGCCCCCAACUUGGGUAUAAGCCUGGGAAACUGGGUCUAAUUCCCGAUAGGACUGCAGGGUGGUGCCUGUGGUGGAAAACGAUUUUCUAGUGGUUGGGGAUGAGCUCGCGGCCUAUCAGCUUGUUGGUGGGGUAAUGGCCUACCAAGGCGGCGACGGGUAGCCGGCCUGAGAGGGUGGACGGCCACAUUGGGACUGAGAUACGGCCCAGACUCCUACGGGAGGCAGCAGUGGGGAAGAGUGCACAAUGGGCGGAAGCCUGAUGCAGCGACGCCGCGUGGGGGAUGACGGGCUUCGGGUUGUAAACUCCUUUCGACCGCGAGGAAGCCACCUGGUUGGAAGGGUGGUGACGGUAGUGGUAGAAGAAGCACCGGCUAACUACGUG